UGAAUGAUGAUUAUCUUCCGCCCCAGUCUUAAUUAAUGUGCUGAUUCGGUUACAAAACAUGCCAGUUUUGCUUCUGA